UACGGAGGAUGCAAGCGUUAUCCGGAAUGAUUGGGCGUAAAGCGUCCGCAGGUGGCAAUGUAAGUCUGCUGUCAAAGCGUCUGGCUCAACCAGAUAAAGGCAGUGGAAACUACAUAGCUAGAGUAAGGUAGGGGUAGAGGGAAUUCCUGGUGUAGCGGUGAAAUGCGUAGAGAUCAGGAAGAACACCGGUGGCGAAGGCGCUCUGCUGGACCUUAACUGACACUGAGGGACGAAAGCUAGGGGAGCGAAUGGG
rnacentral:rRNA from 1 species